AGAGUUUGAUCCUGGCUCAGGAUGAACGCUGGCGGCGUGCUUAACACAUGCAAGUCGAGCGAAGCACCUUGGCGGAUUUCUUCGGAUUGAAGCCUUGGUGACUGAGCGGCGGACGGGUGAGUAACGCGUGGGUAACCUGCCUCAUACAGGGGGAUAACAGUUGGAAACGGCUGCUAAUACCGCAUAAGCGCACAGUACCGCAUGGUACGGUGUGAAAAACUCCGGUGGUAUGAGAUGGACCCGCGUCUGAUUAGGUAGUUGGUGGGGUAACGGCCUACCAAGCCGACGAUCAGUAGCCGACCUGAGAGGGUGACCGGCCACAUUGGGACUGAGACACGGCCCAAACUCCUACGGGAGGCAGCAGUGGGGAAUAUUGCACAAUGGGGGAAACCCUGAUGCAGCGACGCCGCGUGAGCGAUGAAGUAUUUCGGUAUGUAAAGCUCUAUCAGCAGGGAAGAAAAUGACGGUACCUGACUAAGAAGCCCCGGCUAACUACGUGCCAGCAGCCGCGGUAAUACGUAGGGGGCAAGCGUUAUCCGGAUUUACUGGGUGUAAAGGGAGCGUAGACGGCAUGGCAAGCCAGAUGUGAAAGCCCGGGGCUCAACCCCGGGACUGCAUUUGGAACUGUCAGGCUAGAGUGUCGGAGAGGAAAGCGGAAUUCCUAGUGUAGCGGUGAAAUGCGUAGAUAUUAGGAGGAACACCAGUGGCGAAGGCGGCUUUCUGGACGAUGACUGACGUUGAGGCUCGAAAGCGUGGGGAGCAAACAGGAUUAGAUACCCUGGUAGUCCACGCC
rnacentral:rRNA from 1 species